UAGGGAAUCUUCCACAAUGGACGCAAGUCUGAUGGAGCAACGCCGCGUGAGUGAAGAAGGUUUUCGGAUCGUAAAGCUCUGUUGUUGGUGAAGAAGGAUAGAGGCAGUAACUGGUCUUUAUUUGACGGUAAUCAACCAGAAAGUCACGGCUAACUACGUGCCAGCAGCCGCGGUAAUACGUAGGUGGCAAGCGUUGUCCGGAUUUAUUGGGCGUAAAGCGAGCGCAGGCGGAAUGAUAAGUCUGAUGUGAAAGCCCACGGCUCAACCGUGGAACUGCAUCGGAAACUGUCAUUCUUGAGUGCAGAAGAGGAGAGUGGAACUCCAUGUGUAGCGGUGGAAUGCGUAGAUAUAUGGAAGAACACCAGUGGCGAAGGCGGCUCUCUGGUCUGCAACUGACGCUGAGGCUCGAAAGCAUGGGUAGCGAACAGGAUUAGAUACCCUGGUAGUCCAUGCCGUAAACGAUGAGCGCUAGGUGU
rnacentral:rRNA from 1 species